AUCAGAUAUAUAACACCCGAACCUUAGUUUGCCUAAUUUUCGCAAACAAAUUAGAAUUGACUAUAAUUCAAGCAAAGUAUAGGAGAUGAACUCAAACAAAACAAGCUUCUUCUUCUUGGUUAUGUUUCUUCUAUCUGCCUUAUGUAUGAGGACGACAGAAAGCAAAAGAUGUCACAAAGACUCAGAUUGCAAACACGCAAUGCCAUGUGCAAUACCUCCUGCCUGCUUAUAUGGCGGUUGCGUUUGUACAAUGAAUCAGUCUUUCUCUGCUUGUAAACUUAUGUGUGCACAAGCACAACUACUUGGACAAAACACUGUUAACCAUCCUGAUUUUACUCAUUGUGUUUGCGGCUGAUGAUAAGUAAAGAAAUCUAGUUAUAUAUGUAUUUGUCUUGACAAUAAAAUUUGCAAACCGUGUUAAAGAA